rnacentral:tRNA from 1 species
UAAAAAGUAGUAUAUUGGGAGUACAAAGAGUUUUGAUCUCUUAGGUACAGGUUCAAUUCCUGUCUUUUUAA